GACAGAGGGUGCAAACGUUGUUCGGAAUUACUGGGCGUAAAGCGCGUGUAGGCGGCUUCGCAAGUCGGAUGUGAAAUCCCACGGCUCAACCGUGGAAGUGCAUUCGAAACUGCAAGGCUAGAGUUCUGGAGAGGAAGGUGGAAUGCUUGGUGUAGAGGUGAAAUUCGUAGAUAUCAAGCGGAACACCGGUGGCGAAGGCGGCCUUCUGGGACAGUAACUGACGCUGAGACGCGAAAGCGUGGGGAGCAAACAGGAUUAAGAAACCCUUGG
rnacentral:rRNA from 1 species